GUCAGGAAGUGGGCUGUUGCUGGAACAACAAUGACUGGCUUGAUGUCAGUGGAAACUUAAACUUUUUUUCUUUGUGUCUUCAUACCAUUCUAUUCAGUUUACCUUCGCCUGACACAUCCUGUAGAUCUUCUAUCUGACUAUAAAUUCAGCUGUUCGUCUGAAAUCAGUCACUGGCCUUCUUGCCCUCGUGAAAGAUUGCAGUCAUAAUGGGAAAUUCAAACCAAGGGUGUUGCAUAGGUCCCCACCACCAUCCUCGACAUCCCCACCAUCACCAUCACCAUCAGCCCCACCCAGGACAUCAUCCACCUCAUCACAUAGGUCCACACAUACACCAUGGUCAUGCUGGACACAUUGGACCAAAUAUACACCACGGUCUACAUGGACACCAUGGAAUUCAUGGUCAUCAUGGCCAUCAUGGUCAUCAUGGCCAUCAUGGUCAUCAUGGCCAUCAUGGCAAACACUAAGGCUGCCAGGGCAGGCACUUGAAGUGAGAGGAAAAUUUUCAUGUUGACGACAUGCAAGAAGAUUGUUAGACAGUAUACAUACAUUUACAGUAUAUCUAUAUGUAAAAAAAAAUGUAAAUUUAUUAAUAAUCUAUUGAUAUAUUGAUUGUUUUAUUGCCACAACUACAUUCACUAAAUAAAUGACU